GUAGUCGGAUUCACAUCAAUCUACAUGGGUUGAGGUGGAUUGGAGUGGAACUUGAACUAAAUUUCACCCCAAUCCACACCAACACAUAUGGAUUGAAGUGAAUCCGACA
rnacentral:pre_miRNA from 1 species